CUGCGUCCACCAGGCAGGUCAGCUGGUCAGAGAAGGAGACCAGGCUGGUCACACAUGGCCUACCCUUCGUAACCCCUGAUGACUGGCUCUGAUACCCUGGCCAUGCUGUGUCACAUUGGCCAGUUUCCAAUCAUCUGGAACCUCGCCAGUGAGCCACGACUCCUGGUAAAUGAUGGAGAGCGGCUUGGCAACCUCAUCUGCCAGCUCCCUCAUCACCCUAGGGUGAAUCCCAUCUGGUCCCAUUGAUUUUUAAAUAUCCAAGUGUCCCAGCAGUUCUCUGACUGCCUCCUCUUGGAUAAUAAGAGGACCAUUCUGAUCCCUGGCACCACCUACCAACCCUUGAGGACAGUUGUCAUGAGGAUAAGCUGUCUUACCACUAAAGACUGAGGUGAAGAAAACAUUAA